UACGUAGGUGGCGAGCGUUGUCCGGAUUUACUGGGCGUAAAGGGCGCGUAGGCGGACAGUUUAGUCAGAGGUGAAAGCCCAGGGCUCAACCUUGGAAUAGCCUUUGAUACUGGCUGUCUUGAGUUCGGGAGAGGUGAGUGGAACUGCGAGUGUAGAGGUGAAAUUCGUAGAUAUUCGCAAGAACACCAGUGGCGAAGGCGGCUCACUGGCCCGAUACUGACGCUGAGGCACGAAAGCGUGGGGAGCAAACAGG
rnacentral:rRNA from 1 species